GGCCUACCAUGGUGGUAACGGGUAACGGGGUGUUAGGGCACGACACCGGAGAGGGAGCCUGAGAAACGGCUACCACAUCCAAGGAUGGCAGCAGGCGCGCAAAUUACCCAAUCCCGACACGGGGAGGUAGUGACAAUAAAUAACAAUACGGGGUUCUUUAGGAUCUCGUAAUUGGAAUGAGUACAAUUUAAAUCUCUUAACGAGGAACAAUUGGAGGGCAAGUCUGGUGCCAGCAGCCGCGGUAAUUCCAGCUCCAAUAGCGUAUAUUAAAGUUGUUGCAGUUAAAAAGCUCGUAGUUGAAUUUCGGGGUUAGUAGGUUGGUCAUGCCUCCGGUAUGUACUGAUCUCACUGAUUCCUCCUUCCUUAUGAACCGUAAUGCCAUUAAUUUGGUGUUGCGGGGAAUUUGGACUGUUACUUUGAAAAAAUUAGAGUGUUUAAAGCAGGCUAACGCUUGAAUACAUUAGCAUGGAAUAAUGAAAUAGGACGUUCGAUCUUAUUUUGUUGGUUUCUAGGAUUGACGUAAUGAUUAAUAGGGAUAGUUGGGGGCAUUAGUAUUCAAUUGUCAGAGGUGAAAUUCUUGGAUUUAUUGAAGACUAACUACUGCGAAAGCAUUUGCCAAGGAUGUUUUCAUUAAUCAAGAACGAAAGUUAGGGGAUCGAAGACGAUCAGAUACCGUCGUAGUCUUAACCAUAAACCAUGCCGACUAGGGAUCGGAUGAUGUUAAUUUUUUAAUGACUCAUUCGGCGCCUUACGGGAAACCAAAGUGUUUGGGUUC
rnacentral:rRNA from 1 species